rnacentral:rRNA from 1 species
AUGAGCAUGCUGCCGCCAUGCUCGCCUUGGCCGACGAACCCGAGGAGCUUCACCAGGUGGCGGUGCCGGACCCGGCCCAGGAUCUUCACCUCCCUCGCGAAGCUCUUGUCCUGCAGCAGCAUGUCGCUGUCCAUGUGCACGAACCUCUUCACGGCCACCGUCUCGCCGGUGGGCAGCUCUGCCCUGUACACCGUCCCCGAGCCCCCGGAGCCGACGGCGAACUGGUCGCUCAAGUUCGCCGUCGCCUCCAUGAUCGCAUCCCACCGGAACUCCCGCCGCGCCGAGCCCUUGAUAAUCAGCUGCCGGUUCGUGUUGCCCUGGCUCGACGAGAACACCGUGCAGUUCACCUCCCCGGAGUGCCGCCCGCGCCGCCGCACUGCCAGCAGCACAAGCACAAUCACCAGGAGCACAAUCGUCAGUGUCACCGCCGCGGACACCAGCGCGAUCGACGCGGAGUGCAUCGUGGACCGGCCACGCCCGCCGCUGCCGCAGCCUCUCAGAUGGCUGCCGCAGAGCGCAGCAUUGCCGGAGAAGGCGUCCUGCGGCCACCGGGAGAACUCGUCCCCCAGCCUACCAUCCAGCCGAUUGCUAGACAAGUCCAGCUCCACCAAACUGCUCAUCCUGGCGAGCUGCGACGGCACUGUUCCCACCAGAGCAUUGUGAGAGAGGUUCAAAUCUUCCAGCUUGGAGAGAGACCCAAUUGAUGCAGGGAUUAUGCCCACCAGAUUGUUGCUGCUCAAAUCCAGCAAGCUCUGCAACUCUUGCAUCUUGCCGAUGUCAGGUGGAAUCGCGCCCGACAGCUGA